GUUUACAUUAGAAAGGGCUGGGGUGAUUUGAGUUUGUUGCAGUAAUUCGGGGAGAUUUGGGGCGUUAGGGGUAUUCUGGCAUAUUUACGAUGCAAUUUCGGGGUUAUUUUAGGGUUUUUUAUGACAUUUGUCGGUGAUUUUAGGGGUUUGAGGCCAUUUUCAUGUUAUUUUGUUGGGAUUUGGGGCAUUUGGAAGUUAUUUAGGAGGACAUGGGCAUUUUGGAAUAGACUUGGAGGGGGCUGAGGCAUUUGGGAAUUAUUUGGGGGCUUUUGGAUUAUUUGGGGGCAUUUUUUGAGUUAUUUGGGGAGGAAUUAUGGACAAUUUGGGGGGGUAUCUGGAGGUGUUUUGUGGGGUGGGAGGGCUGUACCUACAGGAUGAGCUCCAGCACAUUGUGGGGCCGAGGGGGGGGGGGGUGCAGACCAACACCAUCCACCUGAGGACCACUGCCAUCAGCCCUGCCACCAACUGUGCCACACACUGCUCAGGGGAGAUGGGGGGGUUGGCACAGGGGGCUCCCCCCUCACAGCCCUGUGUGUGUCCCCAAGAUUUCUCCAUAUCCUCUAUGUCUCCCUGUGACCCCAUGCCCCCCCUGACAGCGUCUCCAUGUACCCACCCUUACCUCCAGGGCCCCUUUAUGUCCACCAGACCACCCUCACGUGCCCAGAGCCUCCCUCCCGCUCCUGUCCCCCACUGUUCCCAUACUCCCCCAGGAGACCCCCCACACGCAUCUCUGGGACUGCUCCGGGUCUCCCAAUAUCCCAUUUGCCUUCACUUCAGGCCUGCCCAGGUCACCUGAUGACUCCUCCCCUUCCCCUAUCUGGACCACUCAUUCCCCACGGAACCCCCUAGACCUUCAUGGCUCCUCUAUUUUACUUUGGGGCCCUCCAUGCCCCCUCCCCCCAUAGCCUCUGCACCCAUCCCUUUGGCUCCCUACUAGCCCUUCCUCACCUCUGGCCCCCUUGACCUGUAUGACCCUCCCAUGCCCUGCACCCCUUGCCCCGUCUCCCCUCCUUGCCUCUGCCCUUUGCUGUCCUGUCCUGCAGGAGAGGAGGGUGGGAUGGUGUGCUGCAUGCAGUGCCUGCAGGAGCUGUUGGGCCACCAUGGAAGUGGCUGGUUCCAAUGUAAAGCACAGUGUUGUCUUUGAGUCUCUACAUCCAAUAAAGAAGACGGAACCGCCCAUGGGGCAAGAGGUGCACUCUGUACCCACCCAACACGGUGUCUGGGGCCAAACCUGAAGGUUCGGUUCGUUCCAAACCCCUUCUACACAUACCCAAUGGUUUGCUCCGUUCUGAUCCCCCCACACCCAAUGGUUCCCUCCAUUCUGCCUCCCACGUACACCCAGUGACUCACUCCAUUCUGACCCCUCCCACCCAAUGUUUUGUUCCAUUCUGACCCCUCCCGCCCAAUGUUUUGUUCCAUUCUGACCCCCCUGCACCCAUUGGUUCACUUCAUUCUGAUCCCUUCCCCCCUCCCACCCCCCCCUUCCUCACACACACACAGUGGUUUGCUCCAUUCUGGCUCCCUCCACUCUCAAGCCAUUCUAUGACUUCUAUGAAAUUGGGGACUAUGGGGGGGCGGAGGGGGACGACUGGGGCUUAAGUGGACAGUUUAGAGUCGGAGGGGGGAAACUCAGGGGUCAGCUGAAGGUUUAGGGGCGAUCCUGGGGGUCUCCGGGGUCUCCUACUGCCCCGCCGCCGCGGAGCUGGCCAUGCGCGAGGCGCUGUCCUGGUGCUGAAACGCGCGGCCGCCGCCGCGGCGCUGUUGGGCUCCUGUUGAUGUUCGCCGAUUAAUGUCAACGACCCGGUGUUCAUUAGAGAGUGGUGGUGAAAUUUUGCUGUUCUUACAUUUCAUCCUUGAAAACAGUUGUUCACAGAUGUGCAUACUGCCAAAAAGCAACGGCAGGAGAACGGCAUGACUGUGAAGCAGGGAAUCUUGUUCUCUGGCAAGACAGGUGUUUUGCAAUUCUGAUGAAGAGGCACAAUCCCUGUUCUGAGUUGAAAAUCUGAUUGCAAUUCAAUAUGUUCCAUUUGAAGAUUGGCAGGUGAUAUAUUUAUGGUGACUGGAAAUUACCCAUUCCACUGCAUGUCCUGUGCAUCUAUUGCAACUUCACACCUGGGAGGGAUCAGGACCACAUGUUGUCCUGCUUCACACUCACACAGUGAUUAAAGUGAAAGGAGUCUACUUAGCUGGAAUCAAUAACUCUGUUCUCUGCACUUGCACACUGCAUUCUUCCUUGCAGUUCCAUUCCAGGGAACAGAGAACCUUAGUGUGGCGGUUUAACAGCAGCAGGGAGCUCAGCACCCUGCUCACCCCUGGCCCCUUCAAAACAGAAUGGGGGGAAAAUAUGACGAAAAGCUAACAGCCUGCAAAGUAAGUUAAGGACAGGGGAGCAAAUGCAUUGGCAUGCACUGAGCACUGGCAAAAGAGGUGCAGCAAAGGGACGGUUAACUUACAGCUUUUUGACAGCAGGUGGGAAGCCUGGGCUAGCUCUGGAGCUGGGUCUUACUUCAAACAUGGUGCUUUUUGAGGAGGGAGUCAGUAGGACACAGCAAGGAGCAGCAGCUCCUGAAGGCUUGAGAAGCCAAAAACAAUAACUCAGGCAUAGGCCAGCAGCCAUGGAUCCAUCCCAUGGUCCCUGCACACGGGGAGCACAAUGGGCUCCAUUUCUCAGGAGGGGCAAUAGGAGUUGAGAAAGAGCCCAAGCAGCAUGCAUGUCUGCAAAGUCCAGUCCAGACUCCUUUCUGCAAGGAGCACACGCUGAAAAGUCCUCCAGAUGUGAAUACAGUCUGCAUGUGAAAAUGAAGAAGAAAUCGAUGGUGGGGGAGUUGGGAAAUGUAAAUGCCAAAGCAUUGUUGAUGAAGAUGAGUUCAGCUGGCAUGCAUGCAGCAAGAGCCUUCAGGCCUGUACUGUUGGUUGGGAUGGGCAGAGGGCUUGCUGUCGCACUUCAUUUUUAGGCACAUCUCAGUUGGCCCUCAGCAGUGGAGCCAGGAAUCUGCCCCAAGUUUGAGACACAUUUUGUGUCUCUUGAUCUGUUUUGGUGAGAGUGGUUUGAGUUGGGUUAUUUAUAUAGAAACAUUUAGAUUUGGUGGGAAAUUUUGGUGGUAGGUGAACAGUGGGUCUGGAUAAUCUUGGAGCUCUUUUCAACCUUGGUGAUUCUGUGAUUUGUCUUUGACAUGUGUCAACAUUUCAUGUACAAUGCAGUGAUAAGCAAUAGAUAAAACAAUGUUAGAGUUAGUAGAAUCAAAACUAGGUGAAGCGUGCAAUUAAAAGCUCUUGUUGCCAUUGAUGACAUCCUUCUUCACUCUUCCUGGACAUGGUGUAUCUCUUCUGUCAUGAGGAAUGGUGAUUACAGGUUUUUCUCCAUUAUUUCAGAUGCAUUCUAGCAGUUGGCACAGGUCAUCGUAGCAGUAGCUAGUUUACUAAUAUAAGAUUCGUUCUGAUGGGACUGGAAAGGGGUUGGCAUCAAAUACUCAAUAUAUAAUUAGACUGAAGCAAUUGAUAUGAUGUAACUGGAGCUGAAUCGUUCAAGUUGUAUCCCAUAAUUUUAGUAAAACUGUUACCAAAAAUCAUAACCAAGAAAACUCCAAACUAAAUGAGGGUUUAGAAAGCCAACAUCAGUUUAUUGCAGUGCUGGGUGCAUGGAGGAUUCCUCCUCCUAGCAUGCAGGCCAAGGGAUGAAAGCAAGCUCAUUAUAUACACUAAAAAAUGAAUAUUCUCACAAUUCUGGAGAAGUGCUUGCCUAUUUCCAGGAAGUCUAAUGCAUGUUCUAAGACAUUGCAAAACUGCCUCCAGCAAGGCGCUGAACUGGGGGAAGGGUCUCAGGUGAGCUCUUUCUUUGCCUGUGUAUAGAGCUGAUGUUGAGAAACAUCCUUUUUUUUUUCUUUUCUUUUCUUUUUCUUCCCCGGGAAUAUUUAUCUUUGGAGCCUCUUUGGUGCCCAGGCUUCCUUAUCUUGUCUGCCCUUGCCCACCUCUCCUGGGCUGCCAGGCCUCUGGCUCCAGUCAGAGCUGUCUGCGUGGAGGACAGAGCAGUGCUUCCCCUGUGCUUUCUGCCAGGAGGAGCAGCUCUGCUGCCAUAGGCAGCUCUCCACGCGCUGGGGUUACCUGACGGCCUUGUCCCAGGGACGCUGCCUCAACUUGGAAGCAGCUGAAGAACAAAGCUUUUACCGCCUCUUCUGGUCAACGGGACCUUCAGACUGAGCUUCCUUCUUUGCAGCGCUGCCCUGCGCCUUCUUGGCCCUGGAUAAAGCCUCACGGGGCACAGAGAAGCAACAACCUCUUCAAUAAAAGCACAAAAUUAAACCAACCCAGCACAAA